rnacentral:rRNA from 1 species
AUUGAACGCUGGCGGCAUGCCUUACACAUGCAAGUCGAACGGCAGCAUGAUCUAGCUUGCUAGAUUGAUGGCGAGUGGCGAACGGGUGAGUAAUACAUCGGAACGUGCCCUGUAGUGGGGGAUAACUAGUCGAAAGAUUAGCUAAUACCGCAUACGACCUGAGGGUGAAAGUGGGGGACCGCAAGGCCUCAUGCUAUAGGAGCGGCCGAUGUCUGAUUAGCUAGUUGGUGAGGUAAAGGCUCACCAAGGCGACGAUCAGUAGCUGGUCUGAGAGGACGAUCAGCCACACUGGGACUGAGACACGGCCCAGACUCCGACGGGAGGCAGCAGUGGGGAAUUUUGGACAAUGGGCGAAAGCCUGAUCCAGCAAUGCCGCGUGUGUGAAGAAGGCCUUCGGGUUGUAAAGCACUUUUGUCCGGAAAGAAAUGGCUCUGGUUAAUACCUGGGGUCGAUGACGGUACCGGAAGAAUAAGGACCGGCUAACUACGU